UACGUAGGGGGCAAGCGUUGUCCGGAAUUAUUGGGCGUAAAGAGCUCGUAGGCGGUUUGUUGCGUCGGCUGUGAAAACCUGAGGCUCAACCUCAGGCCUGCAGUCGAUACGAGCAGACUAGAGUGUUGCAGGGGAGACUGGAAUUCCUGGUGUAGCGGUGAAAUGCGCAGAUAUCAGGAGGAACACCGGUGGCGAAGGCGGCGCCCUGGUCCGUUACUGACGCUGGAGACGCGAAAGCCGCGGGGAGCGAACGGG
rnacentral:rRNA from 1 species